ACAACUUGGUAAUCAAGCUUAUUUUAAAUGGGGGGGAAUGGGGAGGGGGGUCCAUUUUCAAGCAUUACGACGAUAAAAACCAUAAACCUCCUUCAACCAGGUAUACCUCAGUUCAGAUGGACAGUUUUAAAAAAAAAUCAGUCCCUCUCUCCCUGUUCACGGUCAUCGCUCGCACUUCCUUUAGAACCUUUUGGCCCUUCGUCAAUCAACAAAGCCUAGACACACACACACACAGACGCACACAGACACACACGGCCAUACAAACCGUAAAAACAACAACGCAACUUUUUCCCUUCUUCCUCCCCUUCCUUUCUCUCAGUGUCUACUUCAACUUUCUCCUGUUGUUGUUGUUUUUUUGGGUUUUUUGCUUCUAUCAUAUGUUCAUGAGAACGGGAUAAACUCAUGACCCCCCACCCCCCCCCACACCACCACCAACCACACCCUACCCACACCCGUGAUAAUGACGUUUAAAGUUUUCUUCCCCUCCCCCCUUUUGGGUUUGCUGUGUCAGCCGUCAGCAGAGAGUAAAUACCCAUUGCUGACUAGCUUGAAUUGGAGUCACGAGAUCUCUCUCUGGAUUAGCGCUGGGUACCAGCUAUAAUGAUACCUUCUCUUUUUUUUUCUUUUUUCUUUUUUGAUAUUUAAUCUGAGAUAUCAAACUCUCGGGUCAUAUUCUUGUUCAUUCAUUGUGAAAUAAAUUAUGUGUUGUUUGAUUCUAUUUAGAAAAAUCAGAUUAACAAAAAAAAACAUGGAAAAAAAAACAAGAGGUCACCUGGCAUGAUUAUUUUUAGGAGGUAUCAAAUUUGAAGUACAGUUUCCAGAGGUACCCAGCCCUACUUUGGAACUGUGCCUGUAUUUAGCUGAGCCAGCUUGCUUUUGAUUUGAUUGCACGCAUCUUUUUAUUUUGAUUUUUUUUUUUUAAUUAAGAGUUUCUGCUCUCUUUGGAUACACCUCAGGAAUCUUUGCUACUCAACACCACGCCCUCACAUCCUCAUCCUCACCUGUCUCGAACUGGAGUACCUCCUCUCUCGCCGAAUCUUGCGCCUCCUCUGUCUCUUUCUUGCCUCGUCUCCACUUGUUAGAGUUUAGCUGUGCAGUAAUAGUUCAGUGUCUUUAGUCAGUUUGAAGAAAACGGUAUUAGGUAAGGUUGGUCGAUAACUAAAAGUGGACAUAAUCUGCUCCCCAUUCUUUUUAAGUAGCCAAGCAUGAAUCACAGUUCAAAAUAAUCCUUAUUUAUCUCAUCUUCUGAAAGAAACAGUCACAUGAUAGAGAUAUUAUAUUAUUAUAUUAGGACUAUCCACUUUUUCUGACAUGAAGUUCCACCAAUCAUUUAAUGCCAGAUCCCCACGGCGUUCAUUAGUCGUAAGUUGAAGUCUCAAGGAUGCAGACCGCUGAAUUAACUCCCACAAAAAUGAAGAGAGAUAUUACUCAAGACAGGAAAAAUAUCAACCUGCCCAACCAACACAGUCAACCUGACCUAAUGUAUCUGUAGAACCAAACAUCUGGUCAUGUCUUAACCACCUUCAUUCUGCACUGUUCCAGUUUAGACUUAAUUAAUUGGUUUUGAUCCCUUCGCUUGAGCUGGGCCCACUGGCAUUGGAAUUUGAGGGUUAUUUCCCUAGGGCCUUGGUAACACAGGCCUAGAAACCAGUUGGUGACCCCAUGACAACCAAAACCCUCCUUGUGAUUUCUUUGGUUACCUGUAGCUUGCAGAGAAGACGCCGACUUGUCUGCAAACACUCAUUAUUUAACCUCUGAGACGUACUAGAAACCAAGAAUGUUCCCCUUCAAAGUAAAAGUUCUUAGAAACCCCUAAAACCACUUAGGUUGCUCAACUUGACAGUUUGAAACCCUUGCCGACCCCAACCAGCACACUCACACAGCUAACCAUGGUUCAAUGAGUGGAGACGAGGGGAUCUCUUCUUUCUGUCUUUCAUCCUGGUGCCAUUUCUACGUGUCGAUAUUAGUUAAUCUUGUAGAUGUCAGGCAAAACGGAUGUAUCUGUCGUUGUUGCGAAGGCGACAAAUGACAUUUUUGAGUCUUUAUUUCCUCUGAGGGAUAUUGAACACUGGUGCCGGCAGACCUGCAGUCUCUCCUCAAGCUUUGGGACGGUUUCACAUAUCACAGUUUAAAAUCAAGCUCUGUGUGCAGUUAGAAAAUACUGGGAAAAAGAGACUUCUUUCUAACCAAGCCAUUCACAUUCAAGACAGUGAGGCUAUCUUUACAGCACUGUAUUAUGACGUUUUGGUGAGCAAAAGCCAGUAAGUAUACAAGUAAAACACUAAGAAAUUAAAUUGUUUAGUGAUCAGUUGAGCAAAUCCUUUCAUUUUGCACAAAAAAGUCUGUAAUGAAGCUAAAUGUUUUGGAGAAUGUAGAUGUGUGCCAACAUUUGUACCAAUCAGGGCCAAAUUGUUAAGUUAUCCCACCUAAAUCUAGAAGACUCAAAAAAAAAAAAAAAAAAAAAAAAAAAAGGAUCUUCAGAGUUGAACUGUAAAAGUUCUUUGAGCAAAUUUGACAGCAUAAGUUUGAGGUUAUUUCCGCACAUCAUAUUGCAACAACACCGCAAACCUGAAGGAAGUUGAAGCCAUCAUCUUAUUUACAUAUUGUAGCAUGAGUACAAUUUUUUGCAUCAGUGUCGCUUCCUUAUGCUGCUCCACUGCUGUUCAAAAGCACCUGUUGUCCAAGGUCCUCGCAAGGCUUGAACAGUCAGGGACGAUCAGUACUGCAAACCCCAGCAGCCCUUCAGUAAGUACUACCUCACUUGCAGGGAUUUCUUCAGUAUAGAACUAUGGCAAAUAAACCAAAAUCAUAACCAGGUUGCUAAAAAAAAUUCUAAAUGUUCUUGAUUUAGGGGAAAGGUUUCAGUUUAGGGGUAAACUUAAUUUGUUCCCUGAAGGUCUGACAGACAGAAACAGAAUAAGGCUACAAAGAAGUUUCCUCAUUUCCACCACAAUGUGUUUUCUUGUCCCACAAAGGGAGAUUGAACUGCAGAACGAAAAAGAUCCUUGAAUGACACCAACAUAAGGGAAAGACACCAGUAUUAUUAUUUUUAGUUCCCAUGUUUGUGUCCUCAAAUGCAAAACCUACUCACCAGUGUUCCAGCAGCCAAGUGGAUUUCCAAAAACUGCCUCCAAACUGGUUGGUUACCUGCCAAAGUGGUUGACAAAUCUUAUCAGCCACGAGCAAAGAAACUCGCUGCUGUUUGGUUGGCAGUCACAUCCUAAGCACUGUAGGGGAAAGACUUCUGGCUUGAGUUUAAACUGCGGUCAGAGAAACCGACCCAAACCGACAAAUACCAUUCAGGGAUUCAGUACUAUGCUUUUCUAAGUUCUAGCGAGUUAUAUGCAACCAGUGCCGCAAACUACCCUACACUUCUGUAGGUUCAGCUGCAGGAGUGAAUUUCAAUACACACACACACACAAAUAACUUGUAGCAUUUUUUUUUUUUUUUUAAUCCGUGACCUUGCAUAUUGAUAUGUUGUAUUUAUUUUUUAAUUUACUGGCCUGAGGUUUUGGGGAUUGGAGCUCGAGUGCAACUCGGAAUAAAGUUCUGGCACGAGCUUUGGUUUUUGUUGGGGUUUCAGGGUUUGGGGUGGGUGUUUUGGGGUGGGUUUUCAGUUGUAAUUCAGGAACUACUUUCAUUAAUUGAUUCAAAAAGAAAAAGAUAUAAACUGUACUCAUGCUUCUUUCUAUUCAGUCUAUGGACAAAAUGACCGAGAAUGAAUGUUCUUCAGACUCCUGGAUUCCAGUAUUGUGUGUACUUCGAUGGAUUGAGCCCGGCCCUGUGUAACUUUAGAGGGCUUUGCGUUUGGCUGGUUUCGUGUGAUUGUGCCCUGUCCCGUAGAAACUUGCAAAGCCCAGCGUAUUUGGACAUCCAUUCAUACACCUCUCGGUUGUACCGGCUCUAUGGUCCAUUAGGACCAAACCGACCAUCCAAAGGAUGAUGGGAAAAAAAGGUCUUCAAAAACUUCUGGUCCUACCAUUGUUUUAGCACCUAAACUUCCAAAACAAAGCAGAUAUUUGGUUCUGUUUGUCUUCACCUGAUCAAGUACCCAAUUAAAGCAAUUGACGACAAUCUCGUCUACCAUCCAUUGGUUCCCCUCAGGUCUAGACCAUGCCUGUUCUGACUCCACCAAAGGAGCAUUUACAUAUAGCGACAUGAUGCAUUGCUGAAUUGAACUUUGAGGAUCUGUAGCAUUAACUUCUUGCACUGAAGAGUUAGGAAACUUCACCAAAAGAGCUUCUAAAUACUCAAGGACUCGGAACAUCUCAUUUUAAUAGGUGGCGCUUCUAAAAUGGUCCAGAAUGAACAUGGCCCUAUGGAGCUAUAGCUCAAAUAUUUAAAUUUUGUGGGGUAAAGUUUUUCCCUCUGGAAAUUUUUGGAAAAUAUUUGAGACAUUUGCUGUAGUAGAUGUAUUUUUUCUUUAAACUAGCAGCUUCUUCUGGAAUCUCCUUUAUUGGCAAAAUUAGCUUCAUUGUAAGGGGAAAAGGUAGAAAAAUUUUAAAAAAUUAACUUUUUGUCUAGAAGAACCUUUAAAGAAUUAUUCAUUAUUAUUCAUUGUCAAUGGUCUUGUGAGCACCCCCAACUGAGCUUGAGCCAGUUUCUCUGCAAUGGGUAGUGAAAUGGAUCCUGCUAGAGUGAUUCAACUUUGGAAGCACCAGUUAAUCAAGUCAGUGAAAAUGUAAUUGAUUGGAUGUUGUCUCUGUAAUGAAGAUGCCAGCAGAGGUACACCCCAUCCUCACCCCCAACAAAUGCUCAUGAGAAUCCUCUUGACUGGUAAAUGUUCACAAAAGAGGUUGCACAGCUUUCUAGAUGGCAACAACAAAUGACAGCCUCCCCCAGGGCCUAUUGUACCCAAUGUUCUCGCCCUUGCAAAUGUCAGUGAACACUAAAAGUGCCGUGAUAUCCACUGGCCACACUUUGGUGUUGUUUUAGCUAAUAGCAUCGGGGUUUUUUGUCACCUUUUCAGCUAGUGCAGGAGCUACCAGAUUAAAUUACACUUUCUUAGUUUCCUGUUUUGAUCUCUGGCACUGUUGUGGAGAUUGUGUCUUUCGUUCAGGAGGAUACUGUAGCGAGGCAGUGGUGGUAUCAGUGACCAGCUUUGGAAAAUGGUCCAGUCAUAUUCGACCCCCCUGAUUUGUAUAAUUUAUCUUGAACUUCAGCCUUAUCCUGAUGAGGAGCAGUUGACUUGGUGACCUGAGAGGAGUGAAAAGGAUGGAUCUUUUGGAUAUUUAAAGGUGUAUGGAUGGGUCCUGCGCGUGUUUAAGCUUUACAUGUUUCUACCACGACUUCCUCCAGCCCAGCACCUCACAUUGCUGUGCAUAUAAACAGUGAAACAUUUGUGUCUUGUUGCCCCCACUAUUUUAAGCAGUCUAGGAUCUGUACAGACAUAAAUACCUGUAUCAACUAUAUACUCUGAGCUGAAUCUUUAUAAGUGCGUGUUGAACUUCAGUGUUUCCUCUACAUUCAUUUAUACUUUUCUUGUGUUUUGACUCAGCACCCAGGCCUGUUAAAGUUUCCCUUGACUAAGCUGGAGGCUCAUUGGAGUACUUUGUAAGGCAGAAAGAAAACGAAUUGUGAUGGUUCAGCCAAAGGUGUUCCUCAGGGAGCCUGCUUGGAUCCCCUGAUGGUUACAUUUAAAAAGCCCUCCGAGCUCUUUAGGAGCUGUUGCAAUAUUCCCGUGCUACUAUGAUCAUCCACUACAGGUUAUUUCAUUCUAACUUCCCAGUCUCCUCCUUUUUCUCGCUGGUGAAAAGAGUUUUAGAGGAAACAUUGAACUCCAUUGACCCCCACCGCUAAGACUGUCUUGGCAGUAAGAGAAGUCUGGUUACCAGGCCUGAAAUUUCUACAAAAAAAAACAAACAAACAAAACAAAUUAAAAAAAAAAUAACAAAACAAAAAAAACAAAAACACUACUUUGACCCCACAUUUCUCGAGGCUCUCGAGUUGCAGCGCUUAUCCAGGGUCUGCCAACACUGUCUCCAGUGCUAAUGAUGCUUACAGGUUGUUUAAGGCUGGGAGAAACUGAUCAGUCUGAACAUGAAACUUCAGUGGGUCAUGUUUAAAAAAGAAAAAAAAAAAAAUCCUCUCUUCAGUGAUGAAAAUGUCUUUUUUUUCUUUGCUCCUGAUACAUGUGACUGUACAUUUUAUGUUACUGAGAAAAAAAUGUGAAAAACAAGAAAGAAACUAAGGUCUGCAAUUUCAAACUGGAAAGUGAAGUACAUCAAACAAACAAAAAAGAAACAUCCCACUGGGUUUUCCUGAGCAGGAAUGAGUCUUUACCAGCUUUAAGGAUGUCCUCAUCCUGACCUCUGACCUUUGGCCUCUCACAGAAGGGAUGAGAGGAAAAUCUCUUGAAAAAGUGUUACAGCAGAGGAAAUAACCUUCAUGAACCCUGUGUACAUUAUAGCAGAGGAGGCAGGACUGAUCCCUGAUUAGCGCUGCGACUCUCGGCUAAUGUUAGCCGGCCAUGGUUUUUAUCAGCUGAAGUGAUCCACGUGAUGUAAAUAAAUGUGUUUUUAGAUUGUGAA
ensembl:lncRNA